CGGCGUGCCUAAUACAUGCAAGUCGAACGGGUCGAGAGACUCGGUUCUGACUUAGUGGCGAACGGGUGAGUAACGCGUGAGCAACCUGACUCAAAGAGGGGGACAACAGCUGGAAACGGCUGCUAAUACCGCAUAAGACCACAAUGUCGCAUGACGAAGGGGUCAAAGAGAUUCGCUUUGAGAGGGGCUCGCGUCCCAUUAGAUAGUUGGUGAGGUAACGGCCCACCAAGUCCGCGAUGGGUAGCCGAGCUGAGAGGCUGAUCGGCCACACUGGAACUGAGACACGGUCCAGACUCCUACGGGAGGCAGCAGUAGGGAAUAUUGGGCAAUGGGCGCAAGCCUGACCCAGCAACGCCGCGUGAGGGAAGAAGGUUUUCGGAUUGUAAACCUCUGUCCUAUGUGACGAAGGAAGUGACGGUAGCAUAGGAGGAAGCCCCGGCUAACUACGUGCCAGCAGCCGC
rnacentral:rRNA from 1 species